rnacentral:rRNA from 1 species
GACGAACGCUGGCGGCGUGCUUAACACAUGCAAGUCGAACGGACGAGUGAGAUAAGUUUACUUAACUCACAAGUUAGUGGCGGACGGGUGAGUAACACGUGGAUAAUCUACCUGCAACACCGGGAUAACGCUGUGAAAACGGUGCUAAUACCGGAUACGUUCCCUUGUGCGCAUGUAUGAGGGAAGAAAGCUCAGGCGGUUGCAGAUGAGUCCGCGGCUGAUUAGCUAGUUGGUGAGGUAAAGGCUCACCAAGGCGAUGAUCAGUAGCCGGCCUGAGAGGGUGAACGGCCACACUGGGACUGAGACACGGCCCAGACUCCUACGGGAGGCAGCAGUGGGGAAUCUUCCGCAAUGGGCGCAAGCCUGACGGAGCAACGCCGCGUGGGUGAAGAAGGCCUCGGUUGUAAGCCUGUCUAUGGAGAAGUCAGUGACGGUACCAUAGGAGGAAGCCACGGCUAACUACGUGCCAGCAGCCGCGGUAAAGUAACUCUA